rnacentral:rRNA from 1 species
AUUGAACGCUGGCGGCAAGCCUAACACAUGCAAGUCGCACGAGUGGCGGACGGGUGAGUAAUGUAUGGGAAUCUGCCUGAUGGCGGGGGAUAACUACUGGAAACGGUAGCUAAUACCGCAUACCAUCGGAUGUACCCAGAUGGGAUUAGCUAGUAGGUGGGGGAAAGGCUUACCUAGGCGACGAUCCCUAGCUGGUCUGAGAGGAUGAACAGCCACACUGGAACUGAGACACGGUCCAGACUCCUACGGGAGGCAGCAGUGGGGAAUAUUGCACAAUGGGCGCAAGCCUGAUGCAGCCAUGCCGCGUGUAUGAAGAAGGCCUUCGGAUUGUAAAGUACUUUCAGGUGGGAGGCGUUAACGACAGAAGAAGCACCGGCUAACUCCGUGCCAGCAGCCGCGGUAAUAC